AAGUCAUAACAAGGUUUCUGUAGGUGAACCUGCAGAAGGAUCAUUAUUGAAUUGUUAAAAAUCGGGGAAUCUUUCGAGAUUCCUCUACAUUCUUUAUUCCUAACACCGUGUGAAUCGUUGCUGAGUUUGCCUCAGUGGCAACCAUUUUUUAUACACACAUAAUAGUUUAGAACGUAAAAAUAUAAUAAAAAAAUACAA
rnacentral:misc_RNA from 1 species